rnacentral:rRNA from 1 species
UAUGAUCCUGCCUCGCAUGGGGUGGGGUGGAAAGCUUUUUGUGGUGGGGGAGUGGACUCGCGGCCUAUCAGCUUGUUGGUGAGGUAGUGGCUCACCAAGGCGACGACGGGUAGCCGGCCUGAGAGGGCGACCGGCCACACUGGGACUGAGACACGGCCCAGACUCCUACGGGAGGCAGCAGUGGGGAAUAUUGCACAAUGGGCGGAAGCCUGAUGCAGCGACGCCGCGUGAGGGAUGAAGGCCUUCGGGUUGUAAACCUCUUUCAGCUCUGAAGAAGCGUGAGUGACGGUAGGAGCAGAAGAAGCACCGGCUAACUACGUGC